ACCCCUCAGCUCAGAACAGGGUCUCCUAGAGCAGGUUGUUCAGGGCCAGGUCCAGUCAAGCUUUGAAUAUCUCAGAGAAUGGAGCCUCCAC